ACACAUGCAAGUCGAACGGCAGCGCGGGAGCAAUCCUGGCGGCGAGUGGCGAACGGGUGAGUAAUACAUCGGAACGUGCCCAAUCGUGGGGGAUAACGCAGCGAAAGCUGUGCUAAUACCGCAUACGAUCUACGGAUGAAAGCAGGGGAUCGCAAGACCUUGCGCGAAUGGAGCGGCCGAUGGCAGAUUAGGUAGUUGGUGAGGUAAAGGCUCACCAAGCCUUCGAUCUGUAGCUGGUCUGAGAGGACGACCAGCCACACUGGGACUGAGACACGGCCCAGACUCCUACGGGAGGCAGCAGUGGGGAAUUUUGGACAAUGGGCGAAAGCCUGAUCCAGCCAUGCCGCGUGCAGGAUGAAGGCCUUCGGGUUGUAAACUGCUUUUGUACGGAACGAAACGGUCUUUUCUAAUAAAGAAGGCUAAUGACGGUACCGUAAGAAUAAGCACCGGCUAACUACGUGCCAGCAGCCGCGGUAAUACGUAGGGUGCAAGCGUUAAUCGGAAUUACUGGGCGUAAAGCGUGCGCAGGCGGUGAUGUAAGACAGUUGUGAAAUCCCCGGGCUCAACCUGGGAACUGCAUCUGUGACUGCAUCGCUGGAGUACGGCAGAGGGGGAUGGAAUUCCGCGUGUAGCAGUGAAAUGCGUAGAUAUGCGGAGGAACACCGAUGGCGAAGGCAAUCCCCUGGGCCUGUACUGACGCUCAUGCACG
rnacentral:rRNA from 1 species